AACCAAGUGAAUAAACUUAAAUCUAAACUAAAUCCCUUUAUUAUAGGGCUAAGAAUAAACAAACCAAAUCAUAGAGAUAUUUUCUCAACAAAUAAUAUAAUAUUUUCUAUAUUCUAACAAUAUGUAUAGGGGAAACAAUUGUAUCUGUGUUUUGUAUGAUGUGAGCUUUUAUGUUGUAACUCUUUUGGUUUGUAGAAAACCUUCUCACUUUCUCUUUUGGUUUUGUAUGAUGUGAGCUUUUAUGUUGUAAUCUCUAAUAUUUAUGUAAUUAAGCUUAAGUUACAAAAAAAA
rnacentral:lncRNA from 1 species